UUCACUCCUCUUCAACGGCCUAAAUUUAAGUUUUUUAUAGCAUGUCACUUUGGGACAGGUACUGAUUAUCAGGUAUCUCAAAUAAUAAUAUUUUUGUCUUUUAAUAUAUGAAUAAUUUAGUAAUUUUAUCUCUACUAUAUUAUCAAAAUCUUUAUUAAUUCUAUCUUCGUUUCUUUUUUCUCUUUCUUUGUUUCCUUACAAAUUCAAUUU
rnacentral:lncRNA from 1 species